UAAUAAGUGUUUUAUGGCACUUUUUAAAUCCAUAUCCACCUUGUGUGCAAUGUCAGUCGAUCUUCUUCAUGGAGAUCGACCAAACAUCAACCUUUAUCUUUUAACUCUUUGUCUGAAAAAUAUUAUGAAUAACAACUCAAAAUA
rnacentral:misc_RNA from 1 species